UCUUAUUCGGCGUCCCGAAAUGAAUGUAACACAAUGCGAGCUGCGACGAUACAGCAGACGUACGCUGGCAUUGUUUGUCUGCGCUCUGUUGGAAGACCUGGCAGAAAAAACUGCACACCAUACUAGCUUCCUCCAAUACAAAAGGUGGCAUAUUCAGUGUUCCAUGGAACGUGCUUAUGCGCUAUUAGCUACGCUGCAAUGUACAAACUGCUGUUGCUCGCAAUGUACGUCAUUUUCAUCGCAGAUAUGACGCGCCCAGUGCGAUUUUCACCAAGCUUUCGGAGGAGGGCCUACUCUAUCAUAAACUUUCUGAACACGUCAGAGCACAUAUGGACUGUGCGAGCUACUAGACACGGAAACACAACCUGUCAAUUUGAUCAUGUCCGUCAUGUAAACUUAGGCGUGUCUUUUUCAACAGAACCCUUAUGGAAGGCAGAACAAGGCAUUCUGUUCGACUGAUAGGGGAGUUUUUCGAAGAUAAUAAAAGCAAGAUGUAUGUCACGACUCUAGGUUUUCGACCAAUGUUCAGUGCGAAAUUGAUUUUUGCUGUGGAAGAUAAUAUAUGUGGGGUUAUGAAGCUGCAAUCAACGACAGGGUCCAUCACUCAUUACGAGCUUCAAGUGAGAAAUUCAUCGCUUCAAAUCAUCCUUUAUCGGCGUUGUUGGAAUCACUUCUCCAAGGUCGCUGAUUAUAGCAGAGAACUUUACUAUCCGCAGUGUCAGCACUUGGUCAGACUUGGAAUCUGAACCUAUCGGUUGCUGCAAGGACCCAUUAUCGAAAGACUACGUAUUUCUCAAAUGUACGAUUUUGUUUCUUCUGUGCUGUCAGUGUAGAAUCUUAAUUGCCUAAAUUGGCUAACCUCCCUGUCAUUCCUCAUUUAUUCCUCCUCCUCCUCCUCAUUGCCUAAAUAAAACCGACCAAAAGUAUUUGUUCUUUUACCCACAUUUUAU